rnacentral:rRNA from 1 species
UACGUAGGUGGCAAGCGUUGUCCGGAUUUACUGGGCGUAAAGAGCGCGCAGGCGGUUGGGUAAGUCGAAUGUGAAAGCCCCCGGCUCAACUGGGGAGGGUCAUUCGAUACUGUCCGACUCGAAGGCAGGAGAGGGAAGCGGAAUUCCCGGUGUAGUGGUGAAAUGCGUAGAUAUCGGGAGGAACACCAGUGGCGAAGGCGGCUUUCUGGUCUGCUCUUGACGCUGAGGCGCGAAAGCUAGGGUAGCAAACGGG